GACGAACGCUGGCGGCGUGCUUAACACAUGCAAGUCGAACGGAAAGGCCCCCAUCUUGGUGGGGGUGCUCGAGUGGCGAACGGGUGAGUAACACGUGGGUGAUCUGCCCUGUACUUCGGGAUAAGCUUGGGAAACUGGGUCUAAUACCGGAUAGGACCAUGGUUUAGUGUCUCAUGGUGGAAAGAUUAUUGUUUUGGUGCAGGAUGAGCUCGCGGCCUAUCAGCUUGUUGGUGGGGUAAUGGCCUACCAAGGCGUCGACGGGUAGCCGGCCUGAGAGGGUGGACGGCCACAUUGGGACUGAGAUACGGCCCAGACGCCUACGGGAGGCAGCAGUGGGGAAUAUUGCACAAUGGGCGCAAGCCUGAUGCAGCGACGCCGCGUGGGGGAUGACGGCCUUCGGGUUGUAAACUCCUUUCGUUAGGGACGAAGCCGCACUUUUUUUGGGUGUGGUGACGGUACCUUUGUGAAGAAGCACCGGCUAACUACGUG
rnacentral:rRNA from 1 species